rnacentral:snRNA from 1 species
GUGCUCGCUCUGGCAGCACACACACCAACACUGGACGGACACAGAGGUUAGCGUGGUCCCUGCACAAGGACGGCAUGCACAUUUGUGAGCGCUCCAUGCCUUG